GUGAUGCAAACACCUCAUUUCAAUAUAUGAACAUUUUCAAACUUCUAUAAAUUACACAAGGUUCCGUUGGUUUAAUAAUAACAGUAGAACAGAGAAGUCUGCGAAACAAGUAGAUCAUUAGCAAUCAGAAUCAUUUUUACAGUGUACAGACAGUGUGUCACAGUCCAAACUGCAUUGAAGGAAACGAAAGUAAAACGUUCUGUCUGUUUUAUGAGCUUUCUGGAAUGAUUUGAAGGAUUUCGAAGUAACAAAAUAAAACGAUUACUGUGAUGUGACCAGGCCAAGAUGUUAAGAUUUUGCAAGCAUACUGAUGUGAUGUGGGCCAGAUUUUUCACGGCAGGCAGCUUGAGUAGAGACAAGAUGCAAAUGACUUCAAAGUGAUGUGUGCAUCUUAAAUGAACAGAGACAUAAUUGUUUUCACCAUUCAAAAUUAUAGACGCUAAUUUAGUCCAUAUGUAUAUGUAUUGUUUGUCAUUAUUAUAUCUGUCCACAGAAGAGGCAUCUGCCCGUAUAAGAGUCACUAUUGCUUAUUGUGUUUGCUGUCUUUGAAUAUGAAAAGUUGUACCAGUCUCCGAUAUAACGUUUUGCGCUAAUUUGUCUGUUUGAUAAGUCUAUAUCAUGUCCCAGUACGUCCGCAAUUUAUGCUAUGCCACCUUGUAUGCCAAGUACGCUGUCCUAAUGAAAUAAUGGGACAAAGGUAUUCACCUAUAUGAAUAAACAAUUCCAUUCAUGCGGAUAAUGUCUUUGAUUAUUUAGUGCACUCGGCAGACAAGUUUGAUCUAUCAUCUCGGAGAUGUAUGAUAAUAUGAAUCAAUCAAGGAUCCUUUCUAUGUAAUAAUGUAAUUACAUUAUGCUCUUUAUACUGAGCAUUCUCUCGCAUUAAAGGUCAUAAGCAGUAAGAUGUUAACAUGAUGCUAGAAUUUUGUCCUUUCCCCUACUAUGGAGUACUUUUUCUCAUUAAGAAU
rnacentral:lncRNA from 1 species